AGAGCAGCAGCAGCCGCGGUAAUACGGAGGAUCCAAGCGUUAUCCGGAAUCAUUGGGUUUAAAGGGUCCGUAGGCGGUCUUGUAAGUCAGUGGUGAAAGCCCAUCGUUCAACGGUGGAACGGCCAUUGAUACUGCAGGACUUGAAUUAUUGGGAAGUAACUAGAAUAUGUAGUGUAGCGGUGAAAUGCUUAGAGAUUACAUGGAAUACCAAUUGCGAAGGCAGGUUACUACCAAUUGAUUGACGCUGAGGUACGAAAGCAUGGGGAGCAAACAGGAUUAGAUACCCCAGUAGUCCCUGUCUCUUAUAC
rnacentral:rRNA from 1 species